ensembl:lncRNA
GAUAUCUCCAAACGUCCUGAAGGAGAUUUUAAACUUGUUGAAACGCAGCAAAAUCCUAUAGUGUCAGAGUGAAAGACUUUAACACCGCCUUACAAUUAGUUUCAGAUGAGUGCAGACCAACCCAGUCUGGCAACUUUUCUGAGUACAUGCCAGAAUUGUUUAGAGAGUGCCAGAUGAUCAGCAAAGAAGCCAAAAGGAGUUAUUAAGAGAGGUGCUCUGUGACCACACAUAUUGCAUGGGCGGGGACCUGGAUAUGAGUGCAUCUGACUCCAAGUAUCAGACACUUUGUACAUCCACAAAGCAAAGAAAGUUUGUGGGGCUUUGGUCCACAAUCUGUCAAAGCCUGGUUUGGUUUGCCCCAAGCAUCUUCAACUAUGAUAAUCCAAAAUAUAUGCCUGUUGGGUCCAGGAUUAAGAGGUAAUUUGUAUAAUACACAUGAAGCAAUAUGAUCAAGAUUUUUAAAAAAUAGGAACCUAAAGCUAGGGUCUUUUAGACAUCUAAAUAAGUAGCCAGAUUUUCAAAAGUGCUAAGCACUUAGCAGCUUCUAAUGAAGUCAAUCCAAAUGCUAACUUUAGUGUCCUAUUUUUUUAUUUUUUAAUCUUGGCUUGUGUUUUUAUUAGCACCUGCAAAAGUUAUACAUGAGUUCUGGAUCCUGAAUUUGGUACUAUGCUUGGGGAAACAGGAUUAUAUAUUAUAAUUAAGGAUUAUAGAACAGUAAAACAUCAGACAUACCAAGCAAAUAGCACUAAACAGUUGAGAACAAAUGGAAUUUAUCCCUGUAGUUCCUGACCAAAGAAGAGAGAGUACAAAACAGUAUAGAAGAAGUAAAGGUCUGUAUUGUUUUUAGACUCUCACUCUAUAAUUAUUGUUCUUAUGCAAUACAAAUUUACACUACCUUUGUUAUGGACAAAGAUUUAAAUAAAAUAUAUUAAAAUGUUCACACUAUCUGGUUUUAAGAAUAUUGUUCUUCAAUAUGUGCUUAAAUCAGUAAAAAAAAGUAAAGUGCCUUCCAUGCUUAGUACACAGUGUUCAACACCUAAUAACUAAAUUUCUAUAAAUAUAAGCAGCACACUUUACUCAUUCAUGCUUGUAAAAUUUAUAAUCUGUAUAUUUUUAAAUAAACCAUGAGCCAU